UUUACCUACGGGAGGCAGCAGUGAGGAAUAUUGGUCAAUGGGCGAGAGCCUGAACCAGCCAAGUCGCGUGAAGGAUGACGGCCCUACGGGUUGUAAACUUCUUUUGUCAGGGAGCAAUUGGGUCCACGUGUGGGCUUAGCGAGAGUACCUGAAGAAAAAGCAUCGGCUAACUCCGUGCCAGCAGCCGCGGUAAUACGGAGGAUGCGAGCGUUAUCCGGAUUUAUUGGGUUUAGAGGGAGCGUAGAUGGGUUGUUAAGUCAGUUGUGAAAGUUUGCGGCUCAACCGUAAAAUUGCAAUUGAUACUG
rnacentral:rRNA from 1 species